GACGAACGCUGGCGGCGUGCUUAACACAUGCAAGUCGAACGGUAAGGCCCUUCGGGGUACACGAGUGGCGAACGGGUGAGUAACACGUGGGUGAUCUGCCCUGCACUUCGGGAUAAGCCUGGGAAACUGGGUCUAAUACCGGAUAGGACCACUGCCUGCAUGGGUGGUGGUGGAAAGCUUUUGCGGUGUGGGAUGGGCCCGCGGCCUAUCAGCUUGUUGGUGGGGUGAUGGCCUACCAAGGCGACGACGGGUAGCCAGCCUGAGAGGGUGACCGGCCACACUGGGACUGAGAUACGGCCCAGACUCCUACGGGAGGCAGCAGUGGGGAAUAUUGCACAAUGGGCGCAAGCCUGAUGCAGCGACGCCGCGUGAGGGAUGACGGCCUUCGGGGUGUAAACCUCUUUCAGCACCGACGAAGCGCAAGUGACGGUAGGUGCAGAAGAAGGACCGGCCAACUACGUGCCAGCCGCCGCAGUAA
rnacentral:rRNA from 1 species